CAUCUCCUUCUCCUUCUUCUGCUCCCGAUUCUCCUCCUCUCCUUUCUCUUCGUCUUCUCCUCUUCCUUCUUGUCCCCUCCUCCUCCUUCUCCAUCUCCUCUACUCCUCCUUCUCCUCCUCCUCCUUCUCUUCCUUUCCUCCUUUCCUCUUUUUCUCAUCCUCUCCUCCUCCUCUCGUCCUCUUCUCUUUUCCUCAUUCUUUUCUUCUUCUCCUCCUCCUUCUCUUUUUUUCUCCCUACUUCCUCCUAGCUUCCCUUUUCUCCUCUCCUCUCCUGGUCCUGUUGUCCCCCUCUCCUUUUUUUCUCCACUUCCUCUCUUCUUACUAUCUUCUUCUCAUUUUCUCUUCUAGUUCUUCUCUUUCCUCCUCCUUCUCUUCUCCUCCUCCUCUUUCUUCACUCCUCCACUCCUACUCCUUCUCUUACUGUGCCACUGGCCAUGCCAAACAACACCCAGCACAAGUAGUGGCACCCUCUUCAGCGCUGCGCUAGAAAGAACUGACGUGCAUUUAUAUUAGCUUUUGGAGCAUAGUACUAAUCCGGCCUAACUCAGGCGGCCAAGUAUAUAUAUAUACGUAUAUACAUAUGUAUGUAUAUACGUAUGUAUAUAUAUAUACACAUAUAUAUUUAUAAUUUAUAGAUAUAUUCUAUGAGAAAUAAUCUUGCUCUGUCACCUAGGCUGCAGUGCAGUGGCACAAGAUUAUGACUCACUGUAGCCUCAAGAGAUCCUCUCACCUCACCCUCCCGAGUAGCUGGGACUACAGGCGUGGCCCAUCACACCUGACUAAAUUCUUUUUUAGUGACGGGGUCUCAACACGUUGCCUAGUCUGGUCUGAAACUUCUGGGCGCAAGCUCUCUAAUGUUUUUGCAUUCAUAGUCUCCCUUAUUUUAAUUUCUCAAGUUUUUGCAAAAUUCUUACGUAACUAUCUGCCCUUUUCAUAGAGCGCUGUUUCUUGAGCCAGGUCUUCUGUCCAUACAUGGCCUCUUGAGAGAGUGGAUGUCAGCCAGCUACCCUGGCUGAGAGGGAUGGGGAUAAUACAGGGAUGCAAUAAAGGAGACAGUGAUAAUUUAUAUGAUCUGGGACCCCAGGCCUCACACCAGAACUGUCUAGUAUACUUUUAGCAAACAAGUGCCACUGAUCUGAGCCUUGUUCUGCCCUUCCACUUUCCACUUUAUUACACAAGCAGGAGAUAUGCAAGGGAGAAGGCAGGAUGAUGAGGAGACUAAAUUCCAGAAAAGGGCUGCGUGCAGUAAGCAGACAGUUGCCCCCAAAGUGGUCUGGGCUCCCACUUACCUUAGAGACAUGUGCAACACUUGUGAAUAGUUGUUUUACAAUUCUUAAAUCAGUGGACAGACUGUAAGCAUCCCAUUGGUGUCAGUUGCCAGGUGCCCAAUGCCUGUUCUCUGCAGCAACCUUUGUGGUCCCAUACCUGGGAGUGAGUUCUGUUCCUGCAGAGUGCCCUGUGCAUUCUGGUGCUUUUGUGCCCUCUCCUCUAACCUAUAAACUGACAACUCUAACUCUAUAUUUUCACUUACAAUUUUUCUGAAGCAGUGAUCUUUUGUCAUCUUGAUCACACUACAAGUCGCUCACCCUGCAAGUACUUGUAAAAAUGAAAGUAAUGUCCAUUCCUUCUGGAAGGUGAUUGCCAUGUACACAACCUACUAGGCCAGGAACAUUACUGCUGGCUGUCCUGAUGCAUGUCUCUCUCACCCCCAUGUCCAAUCAGUCACCAGGCUCUCCCCAAAACCAUGCUCCAGUCACUGACUUUGGCUGUUUAAUCACUUCUGACCUAAGGUCCUCAUUGAGUCAUAAGUACCUCUUGAGUUAAUUUUCGGCCUCCAGUUUCUCUCUACUGCUGUUUAUCUUCCACCCUGCUGCCAGAGUCAUCAUCCUCAAAAAUGAAAGCUGCUCUCAUUGUUUGCCUGCCUAAUAACAUCUCUUCCCUCCCUGUUGUCUACAAAAAGAAAAAUCCAAACUCCUUCACUUGUUUUACAAAGACCCUCAUCUGCUUCCAAACCAAAUUGCUAGUCUUGGCUCUUGUCUCUGUCUUCCACAUCACUGACACACUGAAUAAUUCUUUACUGCCCCUGCUGUUGCAUGGGUUGUUCUUUUUGUUGUGUCUCCAUCCCCUUCCCCCAGCAAAGAGUAUUUACUCUUUACUCUUCUGUUGAGACCCAUCUCAAAUAGUACCUUUUCUAGGGAGAAUUAGGCCUUCUGUUCCUAAUAACUUUUACCCUCGUCUAUCAAGUCUGUCUGCUGUAAUUUAUCUGUUAACAUGUUUCUCCCACCUCAAGAAUAUUUUUUCCAUCUUCUGUACCUAGCACAAUUGCAUGGUUGGUGCUCACUGACUACUACAUGUUGAUUUAUUUAUUUUACUUGUUUGAGAGGUGGAGUCUUGCUCUGUUAUCCAGGCUGGUGUGCAGUGAUACAAUCUUGGCUCACUGCAGGCUCUGCCUCCCGGUUUCAAGCAAUUCUCCUGCCUCAGCCUCCCAAGUAGCUCCGAUUACAGGCACCCACCACCACGUCCAGCUAAUUUUUGUAUUUUCAGUAGAGACAGGUUUCACCACAUUGGUCAGGCUGGUUUUGAACUCCUGACCUCAGGUGAGCCGCCUGCCUCGGCCUGGCAAAAUGCUGGGAUUACAGGCAUAAGACACCAUGCCUGGACUUGCAUGCUGAUUUCUGAUAUAAAAAUGAAAUUUUUGAAGAUUUUGGAGAAUACCAUCAUGUAAAUUGGAAGCUAAGGCCUAACUAUUACUACACAUUCAGCAAAGGAAGUGGGUAUAAACUAACAACUUUGGCACAUCUGUCAUGCCGUAGUUUGCCGCAAGGUGGAAAAGAUUUUGGUGCUUUGGUGGGAAAUACUGUUGAAUUACAGAAAUUCUAAAACAAAAGUUGGCUCAGCUUAAAGAGAAAAGAAAAUGCUUGCUAAUGCCUGCUUGCACUAAAAGCUGUCACACUGUGGCCUUUAAUAAUUCUAAACAUUUUUAAUGGAUUUUGGUUUGAACUUCAAAUUCAAUAGGAAAAAUAAAUGCACAGAUAAAGGACCCAGAUCAUUUUAGAGCUCCAAUGUGUGAACCCGUUUUCUCUACUUAUUUAGAGUUUUGUUUCACUAGUGGCAUGAGUUAAUAGGAGUGUUGCUUUGUACAUACAUUCUCUUUAUUCCAUAAUUCUUGGUUUUAAAAAUUGAAUGCAAUACCAGAAACCUACAGGGUAUAAAUCUUGCUUGAUGUGUGUGCAAUGUACAUACUUGAUAAUAAUUGAUUAUAUAUCAUAUUUAUAAAAAGAAUCAUGCAUACUGUUUUAGGAGAACAUACUUUACCCUGAUACUUUAUUGUUAAAAACAACAAAGCAUUGUUCUAACUACUAAAAAUCAAAAAUUUAACUUUCUUUUAAAAGAGGUACAUGUAUCUUCAGAAAUAAAAGGGAUACCCAGAAGAUAAGGUAGGUGUUCUGAAACACGAGGUGAAACAUUUGAAUGGGUUUUUUUUGUCAAACAAUAUAUUUUUAACAAAGAAAAAGUUUGCAUUGUGGGUGAAAUAUCCUUAGUAUCUUUAUACAAGAUGAAAUCCUGAUUGAUUAGAGAUACGUUACUAACUUUAAAUGUCUUUUAAUAAGUGCUUACAUGCUAACUAGUAUUUAGACUCAUACCUGGCAGAUACAUUUAGACAUAAUAUUCUAACUUAGUUUCAUUUCUGAGGAGGCUUGUGUAUUUUCCUCUGUGAUACAGAAAAUAGAUUUUUAAAGCCAUUUUAUCUUUUACUUUAGAGUUUUAAUUGUUUGUUAAGUGGUUUAUAAUGGUUUAAUUAACAACCCGAACAGGUUUUCUGUGAUUUGGUUGGUUAAAUCUAUAUGUAUUUGGUUAAAAUAUUCUACUUCAAAGUUUUAAACCAAGAGUAACUUAAAGGAGUCUUAACUUGUGUUUCUCUGAAUUUGAUUUGUAUUUAAAUUAUGAAAUUAAGUUUUCAAAGAACGAUUUUUGUGUUCAAAAGCUUAUUAAGGUUUCACAACUUAAUUUUCCUAAGUACAAUUUUUUUCUAUCAGACUUAGCCUCCUUUUAGAAGACAGUUUUUUACUACCAAAUUUACCAUUCCCAUUUUUUUUUUUUACUUUUACAGAUCUGUAUUUAGUCCAUAAAUAUCCAAAUAUCUGCUUGUGAAGGUUCUGUCUUUACCACCAAGCCUACUGGUAUGGCAAAGACAUACAGUUGCUAAUCUCAUUAAAGAUAGAUCACAUUGAGAGAGACUCAUCUAGCCAUGAACAGGUCACUUCUAUCAGUGUUAACUGCUCAAAGUUAAGUAUGACAAGAAGCUAUGAAGUAAAGUUUGGCCUUUGUGUAUGGGAGAGCAAUGGAGGAUGCCAGGAUGCAGGUCAAGGAAGGCAUCCUGUGGAAGUAACAUUUGAGCUAAUAUCUGAAGGAUGUGUGAUAGAAGGAAAAAGAAUGCUUCAGAGAACAGCUGGUACAAAAGCCCUGAGGUUGAAAAGGUGGAUGUGUCAGGGAAAUGGGGGAAGUACAGUGUCUGGAAGAAGAAAAGACACUGAAUGAGGUGAAUGACAGGAAUGAUGAAGUAGAUAGGGGCUAGAGCAGAUUGUAAGAACUCUGGAAAGCUUUGAAAACUAUAGUUUUCAAAGUAGUAUGAUUUCAUCAAAAAGUAGUAUGAGGAAAUUUGCAUGCUAAGGACUAUUUUUACCCAAGUAGUAAAUAGACCUGGUAGAAGGAAAUAAUGAUUGGCCUUCUGUUUGGAAGAUCAGUUAGAAGGCUAGUUUAUGAAAACUUUGAAAAGCAGUGAUGGCUUGCAGCAUCGUGACAGUAAAGAUGGGAGCUCAAAUGGAUUUGAUAAAGGUUUAAGAGGUAAGAGAGGCUUGCUGAUUGGAUGGUGUGGGGAAGGGAUAGAUAACUUCCUGAUCUUGGAUUUUAUAGCUGGGUGGAUGGUGGUGCCUCACUGAGACUGGAAUGCUGGAUUAAGCAAUGUAUAUGAACAGGGCAUGUUCCCUACCCUUUAAAGAGUUAUGUAUAUGUUUUCCAUGUUUUUAGCUAUUUCUCCACUUGUAAUGUGUUUUAUUUGGUUAAAAAUUAUGUACCUGGCAUGGAUGACGCAUUAAAUAUACUUAUGUAACUGAUAAACCAAUGUUACAUUCUUACCUAUGAAAA
rnacentral:antisense_RNA from 1 species